rnacentral:rRNA from 1 species
CCUACGAGAGGCAGCAGUGAGGAAUAUUGGUCAAUGGGCGGAACCCUGAACCAGCCAAGUAGCGUGCAGGAUGACGGCCCUACGGGUUGUAAACUGCUUUUAUACGGGAAUAACGCGCCUUACGUGUAGGGCUUUGCAUGUACCGUAUGAAUAAGGACCGGCUAAUUCCGUGCCAGCAGCCGCGGUAAUACGGAAGUUACGGGCGUUAUCCGGAUUUAUUGGGUUUAUAGGGAGCGUAGGCGGCAUGUCAAGCGUGCUGUGAAAUGUCCGGGCUCAACCCGGGCCUUGCAGCGCGAACUGGCGUGCUGGAGUCCGCGGAAGGCAGGCGGAAUUCGUGGUGUAGCGGUGAAAUGCUUAGAUAUGACGAAGAACCCCGAGUGCGAAGGCAGCUUGCUGCAGCGGAACUGACGCUGAUGCUCGAAAGCGCGGGUAGCGAACAGGAUUAGAUACCCUUGUAGUC